rnacentral:rRNA from 1 species
GAUGAACGCUGGCGGCGUGCCUAAUACAUGCAAGUCGAGCGAAUGGAUUAAGAGCUUGCUCUUAUGAAGUUAGCGGCGGACGGGUGAGUAACACGUGGGUAACCUGCCCAUAAGACUGGGAUAACUCCGGGAAACCGGGGCUAAUACCGGCUAACAUUUUGAACCGCAUGGUUCGAAAUUGAAAGGAGGCUUCGGCUGUCACUUAUGGAUGGACCCGCGUCGCAUUAGCUAGUUGGUGAGGUAACGGCUCACCAAGGCAACGAUGCGUAGCCGACCUGAGAGGGUGAUCGGCCACACUGGGACUGAGACACGGCCCAGACUCCUACGGGAGGCAGCAGUAGGGAAUCUUCCGCAAUGGACGAAAGUCUGACGGAGCAACGCCGCGUGAGUGAUGAAGGCUUUCGGGUCGUAAAACUCUGUUGUUAGGGAAGAACAAGUGCUAGUUGAAUAAGCUGACACCUUGACGGUACCUAACCAGAAAGCCACGGCUAACUACGUGCCAGCCGCCGCGGUAA